GUACACUCCUACGGGAGGCAGCAGUGAGGAAUAUUGGACAAUGGGUGGAAGCCUGAUCCAGCCAUCCCGCGUGCAGGAAGACGGCCCUAUGGGUUGUAAACUGCUUUUAUCUGGGGAUAAACCUACUUACGUGUAAGUAGCUGAAGGUACCAGAAGAAUAAGCACCGGCUAACUCCGUGCCAGCAGCCGCGGUAAUACGGAGGGUGCAAGCGUUAUCCGGAUUUAUUGGGUUUAAAGGGUCCGUAGGCGGACUGAUAAGUCAGUGGUGAAAUCCGACAGCUUAACUGUCGAACUGCCAUUGAUACUGUUAGUCUUGAGUAAGGUUGAAGUGGCUGGAAUAAGUAGUGUAGCGGUGAAAUGCAUAGAUAUUACUUAGAACACCAAUUGCGAAGGCAGGUCACUAAGUCUUAACUGACGCUGAUGGACGAAAGCGUGGGGAGCGAACAGGAUUAGAAACCCUAGUAGUCCC
rnacentral:rRNA from 1 species